rnacentral:rRNA from 1 species
CAUACCACCCUGAACAUGCCCAAUCUCAUCUGAUCUUGGAAGCUAAGCAUGGUCGGACCUGGUUAGUACUUGGAUGGGAGAAACCAAGC